UACCGGCUGCUCGAGUGAUGGCCACUAUUACUGGGUUUAAAGCGUCCGUAGCUUGACUGUUAGGUCUCUUGGGAAAUCUUCACGCUCAACGUGAAGGCGUCUAAGAGAUACCGGCAGUCUUGGAACUGGGAGAGGUAAACCGUACUUCGGGGGUAGGAGUGAAAUCUUGUAAUCCUCGAGGGACGACCUAUGGCGAAGGCAGUUUACCAGAACAGCUUCGACAGUGAGGGACGAAAGCUGGGGGAGCAAACGGGAUUAGAUACCCCGGUAGUCCCAGCCGUAAACAAUGUGCGUUAGGUGUGUCGGUAACCACGUGUUACUGAUGCGCCGAAGAGAAAUCGUGAAACGCACCACCUGGGAAGUACGGUCGCAAGGCUGAAACUUAAAGGAAUUGGCGGGGGAGCACCACAACAGGUGGAGCCUGCGGUUUAAUUGGAUUCAACGCCGGACAUCUCACCGGAUAAGACAGCUGAAUGAUUGUCAAUCUGAAGGUUUUACAUGACUAGCUGAGAGGAGGUGCAUGGCCGUCGUCAGUUCGUACUGUGAAGCAUCCUGUUAAGUCAGGCAACGAGCGAGACCCACGCCGACAAUUGCCAGCAGCAUCUCCGGAUGGCUGGGGACAUUGUCGGGACCGCCUCUGCUAAAGAGGAGGAAGGAAUGGGCAACGGUAGGUCAGCAUGCCCCGAAUUAUCCGGGCUACACGCGGGCUACAAUGGACGGGACAAUGGGUAACAACACCGAAAGGUGCAGUCAAUCUCCUAACCCCGUCCUUAGUUAGGAUUGCGGGUUGCAACUCACCCGCAUGAAUCUGGAAUCUGUAGUAAUCGCGUUUCACUAUAGCGCGGUGAAUACGUCCCUGCUCCUUGCACACACCGCCCGUCAAACCAUCCUAGUGGGGUUUGGAUGAGUCCCUGGUCUU
rnacentral:rRNA from 1 species